UACGGAGGGUGCAAGCGUUAAUCGGAAUUACUGGGCGUAAAGCGUGCGCAGGCGGUUUGUUAAGUCUGCUGUGAAAUCCCCGAGCUCAACUUGGGAAUUGCAGUGGAUACUGGCAAGCUGGAGUACGGUAGAGGAAGGUGGAAUUCCCGGUGUAGCAGUGAAAUGCGUAGAUAUCGGUAGGAACACCUGUGGCGAAGGCGGUCUCCUGGGGCAGACUUGACGCUGAGGCGCGAAAGCUGGGGGAGCGAACGGG
rnacentral:rRNA from 1 species